CGAGAACGACGCCAUCAAAACCAGUCGCCGCCAUCAAAAGGGCGCUGAAUUUUUUUCGAACUCCCGCUCGAUUGAAAUUUGUUCCCCUAAUAUCUGCAAUUUCGGUUCAAAAUUUCCUGCAUGAUGUAAUUUCUCAGCGCCUCACUAGUUUCAUCCAUGGGAUCGAUGGCUCCACAAGAGAUUUUGCCGAAACAGGUCUGGCUGUAUGCCGAUCUAAAGACUUCAUCGGAAAGAGCUCGCCACUCUUGUUUUCUUUAGUUGGGAACAACCACAAGUGAAACUAGAACUAUUUACUUUCUGCAACAAAUCAGCUACUGGAGAAUGAAGAUUCAGAUUUGGCCUUUAAUGAUCUUCAAAGGAGCUGUCACAGUGGUGAGAUGUUCCUUAUGACAAGUUCCUAGUUAAUCUCCUUUCGGUUGACUGUAUAGUCUAUAUUAAAGCUUCUUAGUUAAUCUCAAUGCUAGUGCUAGGGUCUGUUUUUUCUUUUGUUCUGGCUAGGCCUAGGAAUAUUGAAUUAAUGUUGUGUCUGCACAUUGGCUCUUUCUUGUAAUGAGAUCUUACAGAAUACUAAAAUAUACCGUCAUUAUUUGGUGUGCAA